rnacentral:lncRNA from 1 species
UUGCCUUCUUAGCAACCCAUGAAUCUCCGACAUCAGGCCCAGGCCAUUUCCUUUAAAAUCAACACUCCUUACUUCUUUAAGAAGGAAGCGGCUUUAUGACUCAAAUCCCCUUUGCUUGAUUGAGAACUGGAACUGACAUAUAAUAGUAUAUCAUUGCUGGAAGGAACCGGUGUCCUUAAUAUGCCUUGCUAGGCACCUUCCUUCUUAUACCGGGAACAUAAUCCGAUUUCAUUUCGGCUAUUGGAGCGUUCUAAGUUCCCCUUUUCCAUGGCUUUGAGGAUCUGCAUAUCCAUAUCUGUGAUGUGGCAAUCUACAUUUUCGAAUUUCUUUCAUCAUUGACCGGGUGAGGCAUACCAUACAUCUCUUUUCUCUGGAGCAGAUAGACCUAGAGCAAAGCCCUUCUUUCACUCACAUCUGGUAUCGUGGAGCAGUACCUAUGGAAAGGAUCAAGACCAUAGGGGAAGGGGGAACAAGCUCUUCGGAACGGAUACCCAUCUCUUUGAAUCAAACCUUUCCAGGAUGCUAGCU